UCCUACGGGAGGCAGCAGUGGGGAAUAUUGGACAAUGGGGGCAACCCUGAUCCAGCAAUGCCGCGUGUGUGAAGAAGGCCUGAGGGUUGUAAAGCACUUUCAGUGGGGAGGAGGUUACUUAGGUUAAGAGCUAGAGUGAUGGACGUUACCCACAGAAGAAGCACCGGCUAACUCCGUGCCAGCAGCCGCGGUAAUACGGAGGGUGCGAGCGUUAAUCGGAAUUACUGGGCGUAAAGAGUGCGUAGGUGGUUAAUUAAGUUAUCUGUGAAAUCCCUGGGCUCAACCUGGGCAGGUCAGAUAAAACUGUUUAACUCGAGUAUGGGAGAGGGUAGUGGAAUUUCCGGUGUAGCGGUGAAAUGCGUAGAGAUCGGAAGGAACACCAGUGGCGAAGGCGGCUACCUGGCCUAAUACUGACACUGAGGCACGAAAGCGUGGGGAGCAAACAGGAUUAGAUACCCUGGUAGUCCA
rnacentral:rRNA from 1 species